GAUGGAACAGGACCCUUUGUGACACGGGAUGAUAUAAGCACUGGUGUUGAUGUGGCAACGCCUCAGUGCUCCUCGGAGCCUGCGACGGGACAGACGGGACAGAGCGGUGCUGUGCGGAGCCCCCGCGUAGCCAACUCUUUCCUUGCCAACCCGGAGCGUUUUUGGUAGUUUUUCAUUAGUGCAAGUGUCCUCGAGGCCAGACCGCGGGAUUUGGAGACCCAGAGCUCUUGUGUGGUGUCCCCAAUCCCUGCGGCAGGUGCCCUCGAGGCCGUGCUCUGGGACUUCGUGCCCCGGAGCUUUUUGCUGGCGUCUCCAUUCCCUGCAGCAGGUGCCCUCGAGGCCCGACUGUAGGAUGGCCGAGAGACGCUUCAGCCUGGCCAGGCUGCUCAGGAAGAAAUCAAAGAAGGAAGGCCCUGGGCCUGCCCCAGCAGAGCAGCCUGAAGAGAUGGAGCAGCCCCAGCCCCUGCAGGAAGAUCCAGGCCAGGACCGGACACAAGAACAGGACCGUGCCCGUGGCCGCUUCCGCAGGGCAGCACAGGUACCUGCACUGCAAUCCUG